GGAAUCUUGGACAAUGGGGGAAACCCUGAUCCAGCCAUGCCGCGUGAUCGAUGAAGGCCUUAGGGUUGUAAAGAUCUUUCAGCGAGGAAGAUAAUGACGGUACUCGCAGAAGAAGCCCCGGCUAACUCCGUGCCAGCAGCCGCGGUAAUACGGAGGGGGCUAGCGUUGUUCGGAAUUACUGGGCGUAAAGCGCACGUAGGCGGAUUAGUAAGUUAGAGGUGAAAGCCCAGGGCUCAACCCUGGAACUGCCUUUAAUACUGCUAGUCUAGAGGUCGAGAGAGGUGAGUGGAAUUCCGAGUGUAGAGGUGAAAUUCGUAGAUAUUCGGAGGAACACCAGUGGCGAAGGCGGCUCACUGGCUCGAUACUGACGCUGAGGUGCGAAAGCGUGGGGAGCAAACAGGAUUAGAUACCCUUG
rnacentral:rRNA from 1 species